AUUGAACGCUGGCGGCAGGCCUAACACAUGCAAGUCGAACGGUAACAGGAAGCAGCUUGCUGCUUUGCUGACGAGUGGCGGACGGGUGAGUAAUGUCUGGGAAACUGCCUGAUGGAGGGGGAUAACUACUGGAAACGGUAGCUAAUACCGCAUAACGUCGCAAGACCAAAGAGGGGGACCUUCGUGCCUCUUGCCAUCGGAUGUGCCCAGAUGGGAUUAGCUAGUAGGUGGGGUAACGGCUCACCUAGGCGACGAUCCCUAGCUGGUCUGAGAGGAUGACCAGCCACCCUGGAACUGAGACACGGUCCAGACUCCUACGGGAGGCAGCAGUGGGGAAUAUUGCACAGUGGGCGCAAGCCUGAUGCAGCCAUGCCGCGUGUAUGAAGAAGGCCUUCGGGUUGUAAAGUACUUUCAGCGGGGAGGAAGGGAGUAAAGUUAAUACCUUUGCUCAUUGACGUUACCCGCAGAAGAAGCACCGGCUAACUCCGUG
rnacentral:rRNA from 1 species